CGCGCAUGCGCACUGGGCGUAUCGAAGUAUUCGAGUUUCUUAAUCACAGCAACAUUCAAUUGGUUGAAUAACCGUUUUCGGCGCGACAAUGGCGUUCGUAAGGAUUCUGCGUGUUUCUCGUAAUUUCGCUCAACGGAGGUUAAACAAAGUGGUUCAACGGUCAUCCAAAGUGAAACUCGAGAUUUCUGAAAAGAUUUUGCUGGCCAAACAAGUAUCGCAAGUUUGCCGUGAGAUGACAGAAUAGGACAUUCGCGAUUCGGAGAACGGAAAGUCGGUAAAUUGAGAAGUCGGGAAGUCGGUAAAUUAAGAAGUCGGGAAGUCGGUAAAUUGAGAAGUCGUUUAGUCGAAAAGUUGGUUUAAUUAGGAAAAUCCAGCUUUCCCUUCAGAAAUAUUCAAGAGUGAAAAUUUACUGUGGAUAAAAUGGAUCCAGUGUGCCCAUGGAGGGUUAAUAUGGAUUGGACUAUGAUUCGUUACUUUGACUGUAUUCCAUCACCACGCAGUACGGCUCCUCGCGAUAACAGGCGCCCAGGACACGUGCGAUAUUGCGAUCUUCCAGAGCGGCCAAGAUCCUCACGUCCCUUUGGAAGUCCAACCUGUUCAAUCGUGUCUCUUGUUGGGGACACUAGGGGAUAGAGAGAAGGAGAGAGGGAGGGUAAGAGGUACAGAGAUAGUGAGGUAAGUAAGUAGAAAUGUAGAGAGAAAAAGAGUUAAAAAGGUAGAAACAUGCACAAGUAGAGAGAGGAAGAGAUGGUGGACGAGAGAAAAAAAGAGGAAGGGAGAAAAGCAUGGAGAAAGGGUAGAAGAUAGAGAGAUAGACAAGUAGAGAGGUAGAGAUAGAGGGGGCUAGAGAGGGGAGAUAGAGAAGACUGACGUAGUCGAGAGUUUCAAAUCUGCAACAUCGUCGUCGAUAAGAUUCCGUGAGUCUCUCUUUUCUGAUUAUAAAUCCACUUUUAUUCGGCAGUCGCGUCGCCGUACUGUAAACGUGGAUAAACUCCUCGUAAGAUGCGAUUCCCAUCGAAUCCGCGUUAAAUCAGACGGAACCGCCAAGGCGACAGGGAAGAAUCGACGCUUUCAGAAUCGCAUGUGCUCCCUUCCUUCCUCGCAAUCUCUCGAUAUGAAGACGCGGCCCGCGAUUUUAUAUCUCUGCUGAUAAAGCAUCUUCCUCUGUCUAACAUGCGGCGUCACGCCGCGCCUCUCUUCCUCGACGAGCCGCUUGCGAACGACGGCGAAGUCGAUUUCUGUCGAGUGAACACCAAAUCGAAUCGAGUCUUCCGUGCGCACGAUGUCGCAAAAUCGUAGAAAAGAAAGGAGCACGAACCAGAUACAGAUAAAGAUAGAUAGGCAAGUAGGUAGAGAGAGAGAGAGAGAGAGAGAGACAGACCGCGUAAGGAGAGACACGUUAUAGAUUAUUUGCAUGCCUCUUCGGCUUUUCGCGUCGUUUCCUUCCUCUCUCUCUCCUCUUCCUCUCCUCUCCCUCUCUUCUCUCUUGCUUUGCCUUGCCUAACCGCACCGUCCGUCGUCGUCGUCCCGAAAUCGCUGCCUGGCAGAUAUACGAUAAACCACUGUCAAUUACCGCGCGCGUAUCACUCUGAAUCAACCUCGAGAUUUAUUUUUUUCGAUGAUUGAUAGGCGAUCGUUCGUGGGAAAUGGGGGAGCAAAGACGAAGGGGCAAGGAGAGGAGGGCAGAGAGGAAAGAGGAGCGACGAUAGUUGUGUCGCGAUGCGGUUUCGUUGCGCCGAAAAUUGGAAUGAAAUGGCGGAAUUACAAAAAGAAAUACACUUCUCCAUCGGAUGGCCGUUUUCUCUCUCCCAUCUACAACCCUCCCCUAUGUACUCUCUUUUCCGUUCCAUUUGUGUGUGUGUGUGUGUGUGUAUGUGUGUAUGUAUCUCUCUUUCUUUCUCUUUCUUUCUUUUCACGAUAGAAGGUUUGUACCGCGAGUGAAACGAUUUCGCGUCACGAACAGAAAUUUUCGUCCCUAGUUUCGUUGCGGCGCGACGUCCCACGGCUCUUUCUCCUUCUCUUCCUUCUCUCUCGCGCCAUUGUUUUCGUCCGUGUGGUGCGGGAUCAGCGCGGAAAUAUAUCCUCGUUCGAAGGUUUUUAAUGUAUCCCAGAAUUUCGGCCGGACACGUCCUGCUGAGAGCUGUCACAGGGGUGUAUGGGAACGCGGUAGAGAGAUGAUGGAUUCAGGGAAAUUAAAUGACGGAUCGCGCUGUCUCUUUUAGGACGCGUCUAUCAGAACGCGUUUCCGUGCUCUCUCCCUCUCUUUUGUGCGAUGAAUCGAGCGAAAUAAAUUUCUAUUGGCCUAGUUUGCGUCGAAUCGCGAUUACGGGGAUUCCAAAUUGUUUAAUUUCAAUCGCGCGCGCUCGUAUCGGUCGCGUUUGCUCGCGCGCGUGAGUCCACUGCACGAUAAAGUUUCAUAAAUUUCUUAGGGGAAGACAUAUAUGUUAUCCUCAUACGGGCUCGUGUUUCUCUCUCCCUUUUUCUCUCUUUCUCUCUCGGCACCGCGUAAAAGAGCGAUGCAUAGUUUUUUAAAUUUGAUAUACGUCUCGUUGCGUUUCCUACAUUUUAAGAGAAGUUCCAUUAGGAGUUAUCAUUUCCCUCGUCGACGAUAGACGGGAUGAGAGCUAAUGGUUACUCGAGAAAGAGAGAAAGAAAGAGAAAGAGAGACAGAAAAGAAACAAUUUUUCUGUUUAUAUAUAAGACAAACACACACACACAAACGGUUUAUCAAAGCUAAGGAGAGGCACUCUACCUUUUUCACGUUUUCUCUUUUUCUUUAUCUCAGUGACUAUGAUCGAUAUCAUUUCAAACGUUACGCGGGACACAAAUCUCGCGACUAACGGGAAAUCCUCCAACGACUGUUUUCUCUCUCUUCCUCUUUCCGAGGAUGGAGAAGCAUCAGUAGUGUGUAUAUGUAUAUAUAUAUAUAUAUAUAUAUAUAUAUAUAUAUAUAUAUAUAUAUAUCGCUUGUUUAUCAC